AUUGAACGCUGGCGGCAGGCUUAACACAUGCAAGUCGAGCGGGGUGAUGGUGCUUGCACUAUCACUUAGCGGCGGACGGGUGAGUAAUGCUUAGGAAUCUGCCUAUUAGUGGGGGACAACAUCUCGAACGGGAUGCUAAUACCGCAUACGUCCUACGGGAGAAAGCAGGGGAUCACUUGUGACCUUGCGCUAAUAGAUGAGCCUAAGUCGGAUUAGCUAGUUGGUGGGGUAAAGGCCUACCAAGGCGACGAUCUGUAGCGGGUCUGAGAGGAUGAUCCGCCACACUGGGACUGAGACACGGCCCAGACUCCUACGGGAGGCAGCAGUGGGGAAUAUUGGACAGUGGGGGGAACCCUGAUCCAGCCAUGCCGCGUGUGUGAAGAAGGCCUUAUGGUUGUAAAGCACUUUAAGCGAGGAGGAGGCUCUUUUGGUUAAUACCCAGAAUGAGUGGACGUUACUCGCAGAAUAAGCACCGGCUAACUCUGUGCCAGCAGCCGCCGUAA
rnacentral:rRNA from 1 species